AAGUGGAGCAAUCCAUGAGUACAGUGGCGUACGGGUGAGUAACACGUGGAUCAUCUACCUUUUAGUGGGGAAUACCCCUGGGAAACCGGGGACAAUACCGCAUAAUCCCGUGAGGGGAAAGCAGCAAUGCGCUGAAAGAGGAGUCCGCGGCUGAUUAGCUAGUUGGCGGGGUAACGGCCCACCAAGGCGAAGAUCGGUAGCCGGCCUGAGAGGGCACACGGCCACACUGGCACUGAAACACGGGCCAGACUCCUACGGGAGGCAGCAGUGGGGAAUCUUGCACAAUGGAGGAAACUCUGAUGCAGCGACGCCGCGUGAGCGAUGAAGCCCUUCGGG
rnacentral:rRNA from 1 species